rnacentral:rRNA from 1 species
AGACCUGACUGCUAUCGGAUUGAUACUAAGCCAUGCGAGUCAUUGUAGCAAUACAAGGCAUACGGCUCAGUAACGCGUAGUCAACCUAACCUAUGGACGGGAAUAACCUCGGGAAACUGAGAAUAAUGCCCGAUAGAACAUUAUACCUGGAAUGGUUUAUGUUCCAAAUGAUUUAUCGCCGUAGGAUGGGACUGCGGCCUAUCAGUUUGUUGGUGAGGUAAUGGCCCACCAAGACUAUUACAGGUACGGGCUCUGAGAGGAGUAGCCCGGAGAUGGGUACUGAGACACGGACCCAGGCCCUAUGGGGCGCAGCAGGCGAGAAAACUUUGCAAUGUGCGAAAGCACGACAAGGUUAAUCCGAGUGAUUUCUGCUAAAGAAAUCUUUUGUUAGUCCUAGAAACACUAACGAAUAAGGGGUGGGCAAGUUCUGGUGUCAGCCGCCGCGGUAAAACCAGCACCUCAAGUGGUCAGGAUGAUUAUUGGGCCUAAAGCAUCCGUAGCCGGCUCUGUAAGUUUUCGGUUAAAUCUGUACGCUUAACGUACAGGCCGCCGGGAAUACUGCAAAGCUAGGGAGUGGGAGAAGUAGACGGUACUCGGUAGGAAGUGGUAAAAUGCUUUGAUCUAUCGAUGACCACCUGUGGCGAAGGCGGUCUACUAGAACACGUCCGACGGUGAGGGAUGAAAGCUGGGGGAGCAAACCGGAUUAGAUACCCGGGUAGUCCCAGCUGUAAACUAUGCAAACUCAGUGAUGCAUUGGCUUGUGGCCAAUGCAGUGCUGCAGGGAAGCCGUUAAGUUUGCCGCCUGGGAAGUACGUACGCAAGUAUGAAACUUAAAGGAAUUGGCGGGGGAGCACCACAAGGGGUGAAGCCUGCGGUUCAAUUGGAUUCAACGCCGGA